UCUCCCAGUUUAAAUGAGGAGCCUCCCAUUACUCAGUCAGGCAUACCUGCUUCCUGCUUCGAAGCCUCCGUUUCUUGGAAAUAGCCUGUCAGGUCCCAUCUGCUUCAUGAAGCUGCUAGUCCCCUGAGAGUAGGACCUCCACUCUGAUCUCCUGUCAGAUGCUAGAAACUCAGAAGGGAAUAAUCCUUCCAAUCUGCCAGAAAUUGCUUUUGUGAUAUCAAGGCCUGCCUCAGGGAACCACAAUAUACUACACUCAGAUGAAAAUUAGAUUUAACUACACAGAGUAAACCUUAUACCUCUCCUAUGUGAACGUCUUUCUGAUUUUUAAGAAUAACCAUCCCAAUAUCCUGAGUCAACUCAGCUCAAGGAUAUGAUUCUUCAUGCAUAAUGGCUCUAAAGUCUCUUCAGCAUCACCAUUUUUAGAUGCAUUUCCAUUUCCUAAAGUUUCACCUGACACAUGAUGUCCAGAAGUGACCAUGAUACUUCAAAUGUGGAGAGUUCAAACAUAUAGAAGUCCCACUAGGUCCUGGGUACUGGACCACACCAAUGCACAAAACAAAACUAGUUCCUGCCCUCAGGAGUCUAUGGAUCAUUGACCCUAUCAUCAUGAUCAUUAUUGUUGUGUCAUCCUUACUUUGGAGAGUAUGCUAUAUCUACCUUUAAAGAUUCCCACAGUAAACCUGUCAGAGCCAGUCUUGAAGGAUCAUUGGUUUGUUCCAGAUCAUAGUUUUUGUCUUUUGGUGACAAUACAUUUGUGAAAGGUUUAUGACUUUCUUGACAGACACAGUACUGGCUGGAUUCAAUUUUAAAUACACCCAGUAGAAUGAUGGAAACAAGUAGUAAUGCCCUUUUCCUCCAUGCAACAUUUACUCUAUUCGGCAUAUGAGCUCAAGAUGACUGCUAAGCCCACAGAAUUUAUUUUUAAUUCAUUUUUAAAUAAAAAUGUUAUCAUAUGAGUAAAGCAGUGAGCCAUAUUUAAUUUAUGGAACCAUACAUUUAAGGAAUAUAUUCGAUUUGGAAAAUUACGCACAUAGCAUUGAAAUAAUCUCAAUACCAUGUUUGC